rnacentral:rRNA from 1 species
GACGAACGCUGGCGGCGUGCUUAACACAUGCAAGUCGAACGGAGUGGCGAACGGGUGAGUAACACGUGGGUGACCUGCCCUGCACUUCGGGAGAAGACUGGGAAACUGGGUCUAAUACCGGAUAGUGUGGGAUGGGCCCGCGGGCAAUCAGCUUGUUGGGGGGGUAAUGGCCUACCAAGGCGGCGACGGGUAGCCGGCCUGGGAGGGUGGACGGCCACAUGGGGACUGCGACACGGACCAGACUCCAACGGGGGGCAGCGGUGGGGAAUAUUGCGCAAUGGGCGGAAGCCUGAUGCAGCGACGCCGGGUGGGGGAUGACGGCCUUCGGGUUGUAAACGCCUUUCACCAUCGACGCGGUAGAUGGAGAAGAAGCACCGGCUAACUCCGUGCCAGCCGCCGCGGUAAUUC